rnacentral:rRNA from 1 species
UACGGGGGGGGCAAGCGUUGUUCGGAAUUACUGGGCGUAAAGGGCUCGUAGGCGGCCAACUAAGUCAGACGUGAAAUCCCUCGGCUUAACCGGGGAACUGCCUCUGAUACUGGAUGGCUUGAGUUCGGGAGAGGGAUGCGGAAUUCCAGGUGUAGCGGUGAAAUGCGUAGAUAUCAGGAGGAACACCGGUGGCGAAGGCGGCCCUCUGGACGGAUACUGACGCUGAGACGCGACAGCGUGGGGAGCAAACAGG